rnacentral:lncRNA from 1 species
CAGGAGAGAAUUCACAUGAGCUUUAAAAAUUCACUGCUUUUUCGCUGGCAUCGGGUUUUAAGAGGACGUAGCUAUCGUCAUCUCAUGUUGCAAGUCGGCAAUAAAUAGACUCUAAGGUGUGGGUCCCACCUUUUAUUUCCUUUAACAUCCAAGUAAAUGACUUACAAUUACUUCUUAUUUUCUCAAUAUAUAAAAUAAUGGUGGACUGUUUUCAGUUUAUGCAGAAAAAUGCUGAUUCUUUUAGUGGUAUUGUUGCCUCUUCUAGCCUCAAAAACUAACAGUAAGUGGUGGUUGAGGCUGCAUAAAUGAAGAAAAUUUGGAUAAAUAAAAAACUCCAAUGUAGUAGUUGUGACUUGUGGCUGAAAACAUAAGUAAAAAUUCAAAAAAAAUAAAAAUAAAUCCAGCAUUCAUCCAGACAACACAAAGGGAAAACAAAGAAUAGAAAACUUGAGUAAGACAUUAUUUGCUCCAUGCAUUUUAGCACUUAUGCUUUCAUUUAACAUCUUACUGUAUUUCCACGUUGUCAGUAUUCCAUUAACAGUUACUUGCAGAAGCUUUAAUGUCAACAUCAACAAAGGAACUGAAAUCAUGUAAGAUACCAAGUUUUAUGAUACAAUAUCUUAUCAUAGUUAUAGAUGUUCUAUUCCUCUCGUUUUGCAGCUUUUGUACAUCUAAAUUGGCUGGUGAUGGAACAUAUAAAAUCUGUUAAGUCCUUCAUUAAGUCCUACAAUACGAAGAUAAAACAGAUGGGCUAUACCUUUAAAGAUUCGGGUGUGAAACCUGAUCUUUUGAAAGAUGUUACAAAUAGUUGACUUAAUUUUUCUGAGGUUAUGGAGCAACUUCAGUUUUGAUUGAAAUAUAGGUGAGAUUGUUGUUGUAGAACUCAAAAAUUACGUAUACACAUGUGACCAUUUAUUGAAGCUGCAACAUCUAUUCUUUAUUAUUUUAUAUGUUUUGUGAUGGUCGUUUUUCA